AGUGAACGCUGGCGGUAGGCCUAACACAUGCAAGUCGAACGGCAGCACAGUAAGAGCUUGCUCUUACGGGUGGCGAGUGGCGGACGGGUGAGGAAUACAUCGGAAUCUACUUUUUCGUGGGGGAUAACGUAGGGAAACUUACGCUAAUACCGCAUACGACCUACGGGUGAAAGCAGGGGAUCUUCGGACCUUGCGCGAUUGAAUGAGCCGAUGUCGGAGUAGCUAGUUGGCGGGGUAAAGGCCCACCAAGGCGACGAUCCGUAGCUGGUCUGAGAGGAUGAUCAGCCACACUGGAACUGAGACACGGUCCAGACUCCUACGGGAGGCAGCAGUGGGGAAUAUUGGACAAUGGGCGCAAGCCUGAUCCAGCCAUACCGCGUGGGUGAAGAGGGCCUUCGGGUUGUAAAGCCCUUUUGUUGGGAAAGAAAAGCAGCAGGUUAAUACCCCGCUGUUCUGACGGUACCCAAAGAAUAAGCACCGGCUAACUUCGUG
rnacentral:rRNA from 1 species